AGCGGCGGACGGGUGAGUAACACGUGGGUAACCUACCUAUAAGACUGGGACAACUUCGGGAAACCGGGAGCUAAUACCGGAUAAUAUGUUGAACCGCAUGGUUCAAUAGUGAAAGAUGGUUUUGCUAUCACUUAUAGAUGGACCCGCGCCGUAUUAGCUAGUUGGUGAGGUAACGGCUCACCAAGGCAACGAUACGUAGCCGACCUGAGAGGGUGAUCGGCCACACUGGAACUGAGACACGGUCCAGACUCCUACGGGAGGCAGCAGUAGGGAAUCUUCCGCAAUGGGCGAAAGCCUGACGGAGCAACGCCGCGUGAGUGAUGAAGGUCUUAGGAUCGUAAAACUCUGUUAUUAGGGAAGAACAAACGUGUAAGUAACUGUGCACGUCUUGACGGUACCUAAUCAGAAAGCCACGGCUAACUACGUGCCAGCAGCCGCGGUAAUGCGUAGGUGGCAAGCGUUAUCCGGAAUUAUUGGGCGUAAAGCGCGCGUAGGCGGUUUUUUAAGUCUGAUGUGAAAGCCCACGGCUCAACCGUGGAGGGUCAUUGGAAACUGGAAAACUUGAGUGCAGAAGAGGAAAGUGGAAUUCCAUGUGUAGCGGUGAAAUGCGCAGAGAUAUGGAGGAACACCAGUGGCGAAGGCGACUUUCUGGUCUGUAACUGACGCUGAUGUGCGAAAGCGUGGGGAUCAAACAGGAUUAGAUACCCUGGUAGUCCACGCCGUAAACGAUGAGUGCUAAGUGUUAGGGGGUUUCCGCCCCUUAGUGCUGCAGCUAACGCAUUAAGCACUCCGCCU
rnacentral:rRNA from 1 species